GACGAACGCUGGCGGCGUGCUUAACACAUGCAAGUCGAACGCUGAAGCUCAGCUUUUGUUGGGUGGAUGAGUGGCGAACGGGUGAGUAACACGUGAGUAACCUGCCCCCUUCUUUGGGAUAACGCCCGGAAACGGGUGCUAAUACUGGAUAUUCACUGGUCUUCGCAUGGGGGUUGGUGGAAAGGGUUUUUCUGGUGGGGGAUGGGCUCGCGGCCUAUCAGCUUGUUGGUGGGGUGAUGGCCUACCAAGGCUUUGACGGGUAGCCGGCCUGAGAGGGUGACCGGGCACAUUGGGACUGAGAUACGGCCCAGACUCCUACGGGGGGCAGCAGUGGGGAAUAUUGCACAAUGGGCGCAAGCCUGAUGCAGCGACGCCGCGUGAGGGAUGGAGGCCUUCGGGUUGUGAACCUCUUUCGCUCAUGGUCAAGCCGCAACAAUGGUUGUGGUGAGGGUAGUGGGUAAAGAAGCGCCGGCUAACUACGUG
rnacentral:rRNA from 1 species